UACGGAGGGUGCAAGCGUUAUCCGGAUUCACUGGGUUUAAAGGGUGCGUAGGUGGGCAGUUAAGUCAGCGGUGAAAUCUCCGGGCUCAACCCGGAAACUGCCAUUGAUACUAUCUGUCUUGAAUAUCGUGGAGGUAAGCGGAAUAUGUCAUGUAGCGGUGAAAUGCUUAGAUAUGACAUAGAACACCAAUUGCGAAGGCAGCUUACUACCCGAAUAUUGACACUGAGGCACGAAAGCGUGGGGAUCAAACAGG
rnacentral:rRNA from 1 species